CCAAUAGCGUAUAUUAAAGUUGUUGCAGUUAAAAAGCUCGUAGUUGAAUUUUAGACCUGGCCAGGCGGUCCGUCUUUGGCGAGUACUGUUCUGUGUCGGGCCUUUCCUUCUGGUUAACCGGCGUGCUCUUUAUUGAGUGCGCCGUGCGAGCCAGGACCAUUACCUUGAAAAAAUUAGAGUGUUUAAAGCGGGCAUUUGCUUGAAUAGAUUAGCAUGGAAUAAUAGAAUAGGACGUUGGUUCUAUUUUGUUGGUCUAGGACCACCGUAAUGAUUAAUAGGGAUAGUUGGGGGCAUUAGUAUUCAAUUGUCAGAGGUGAAAUUCUUGGAUUUAUUGAAGACUAACUAUUGCGAAAGCAUUUGCCAAGGAUGUUUUCAUUAAUCAAGAACGAAAGUUAGGGGAUCGAAGACGAUCAGAUACCGUCGUAGUCUUAACCAUAAACUAUGCCGACUAGGAAUCGGGCGACGUUAUUUUCAUGACUCGCUCGGCGCCUUAUG
rnacentral:rRNA from 1 species